rnacentral:lncRNA from 1 species
CGGCUGGGAUCCGGCUCUUAUAAGAGCUCGGAUGAAAUCCAGAGGGCGGUCGAUCACCAUAGAAACUUGGAUGGAGUCUGGUUACUAUAGAAAAUCGGCUGAUAAUAAAGUUCGGAGAGUAUUUGAAGCAGUUCGGUAGAUGAAUGGGGGAGCUCAUUAUCAGAGAGGUCCGAAUGGCAUUAUGAGAGCUCGAACAGUCGGGGCAGUUCAGAAAGACAUCACACA